rnacentral:rRNA from 1 species
AUACGUAGGGAGCGAGCGUUGUCCGGAAUUACUGGGUGUAAAGGGAGCGUAGGCGGGAGUGCAAGUCAGAUGUGAAAUACAUGGGCUCAACCCAUGGGCUGCAUUUGAAACUGCAUUUCUUGAGUGAAGUAGAGGUAAGCGGAAUUCCUGGUGUAGCGGUGAAAUGCGUAGAGAUCAGGAGGAACACCGGUGGCGAAGGCGGCUUACUGGGCUUUUACUGACGCGGAGGCUCGAAAGCGUGGGGAGCAAACAGGAUUAGAUUCCCUGGUAGUCCACGCUGUAAACGAUGAUUACUAGGUGUGGGGGGACUGACCCCUUCCGUGCCGCAGUUAACACAAUAAGUAAUCCACCUGGGGAGUACGGCCGCAAGGUUGAAACUCAAAUGAAUUGACGGGG